UUUAUUCUAACUAGAAAAUUAUUCUACUCAGUAUCAUGAACAUCCUUUUAUCUAUUAUGAGCAUUGUCCUUCAAAAUUAAUGCUGGUCAUGAAAAGGAGAAAAGCCAAUGUAUGGAGCAAAACAAAAUGUCUGCUUCUCUACUUGAUAUAACCUCUGCCAUGGUGGUGCCAGACCCUGAGAGCUAUCUAAGGGAUUCCACUAGAAUCAUGAUGAUUUAGCAUUUUCUAAAUUCCAGCCAUGGAAAUAUAUAUCUUAUAAUAAAUACAAGAGUCCUCAUGGCCUCCAUCCAUCAGAUAUAAAUGACACCAUCCUUCUCCCCUGUGCCAUAAAUCCUUAGGAAAGUAGUAUUUAUCCUUCUUAGUUUAUCUACAUCCAUUCUAUUACUGGCUGCACAUGGCAACAUGGCUUAUAAUGAACCAAAAUACUAUUAUAGUAUUUCAUAAACUAUGUCUACAAAAUUAUGUAAAUCUAGUAACUUGCCAGCCCACUCAAAGGCCUUACGGAGCUAUGGGAUUUAUAUCCUUAUGCUGGCUGUUUCAAAUAGAGGUACAGGCCGAAUAAAACAAAGAUUCCAUUUUCAGAAUCAUUUGUUAAUUUGUCUCUAUUAUUUCUUCUGUUUUGUUGGUACUUAUUUUUCUUGUCCCCUCAAAAAUACCACACAUUUUAAAUUUUUAUUGGGAGCACACUUUGUUAUAAGUUGUCAAAUGCAAAAUGAUUUUACAUAGAGGACAAAGAUCAGGAAAUCUUUAGAGCUGUUCAAAUGACUUAAGCCUUCACAAAAGCAAAACUGUCAAUUAUGACCCUCAAGUUCAAAUUCCCUAGCACGUAAAACCUUAAAAGUGAUUAAUGUUUCCACUUGAACAACAGCAGCAGGUCUCUGUGUUGCUCCAGGGGCAGAGUCCUCUAUGGCAGAACCACUUAUGAGAUCAAGAACUGAGCAUGCAGAUUUGACACAUUUUAGAGCUUUAUAGUCUGAGUUUUUCAAGAGAUGAUCUAUGGUUGAAAGGUAGUCCCCAUAAAAGAGGAGCCCACACCCAUUCAAGAGGUUGACAUGGCUUAGCAUGUAAGAGCAGGGGCAGAGACUGGUAGAAAUCCACAGUGUGCUACUGACUCUUUGUCACACGCAUGACUGAAGUUGGCAACCCUUCUACUGGAAUCACCUUUUAAGGCUUCUACUUAGGAGUGCAGAGGCCUAAGUAGAACUGGUGACCUGGCUCUUACAUAAAAAUAAAAUAAAAACAACCAACAAACAAACAAGCAUAAAACCAUCCAUCCAACCUAAAUCCAUGAUAGCCUCACUUGGGAGAUGAUAUACAUUCAUCAUAAAACCUUUACAUGGAAACCUACCUUAAAAUUAUCAAAACAAGGCUAAAAAUUAAAUGUUGACCAACUCACAUCUGUUGCAAAAAGCUCAUGACUUCCUGGCUGAAAUUUAUCCUCAUCUCAAAUUGUGAAUUCAUUUCCAUAUUCUCUUUUCUGUGCCAAAUGCAUGGGAGUAUUCCAUGGGUCUUUUUCUUCCCAUAUCCUCCUUUUAAUUGAGAAAUAAGCUGACAAAGCAAUUUAAGAUAGUAUGAACUGCAUGAGAUUAAUCAUGUUUAUUUGUCUUCUGUUGCUGUGCAGCCAGUGUUCUCAAGAAGCACAAAGGGAAGUCAGAGCCUUAGUGAUGCAGUUGAGAGUGGUAGAUUUCUAGAUGGGAUGUGGCAUUUAGUUAGCAUGUCUUCCCCUCGGGAACGUAGCCAAGUCACUGACCUGCAGGAUUCAGCAUCUGGAUAUGAGAAGACAUUAAUGUGCUGUGACUAUUUCCUGUGACUGCCUGACCCUAGCACCAGAGCUGAUAAAUUAACGCCUGAUAGAGACCAAAAAGGACAACUUUAUCCGAGUUGUUUCUAGUUAAACUUCGUUCAUGCUCCACUUUCUAUGUUUUCAGCAACUAAAAUUAUAACCAAAGUCGUGGAACCAAAAAUUAAAGUCAUUCAAGGCAGUCUUCAGCCUAUUAUCAAAACGGAAGGUAAAGCCAACACUCUCCAUGGUUCCUUACAUUCUGGAAAAAACAUAUCAUGUAAUCAACUCAUCUCUCUGAAUAUACCUACAUUCUUUUUGAAACUAACAUGCUAAACGUUUCUCUACAAAUGGCAUGCUUGUGUAAUUGCAGAUUGUGGAGUGCAAUAUUUUUUUUAGCAAAAUAGAUGGUGCAUCCCUAAUAUUUUCAGUACAUUUGCUUGUAUUUAUUUUGAUCUAAUUGAGGUUGUGUCAACACUGGUACCCAGAUAAUCACUUAAAAAUUAAUCAUGAAUAUUUUUGCUGUAGAUUCCUUCAGAAAAUAUACUUUCUGUAGCUUUAUUUCCACCCUUUCAUCACCAUCGCACAUUCACUUUAUACCACUGAAAGAACAUUGCUUAAAACUACACAGGCAUCCUUUCCAAUGAGAAUUCUAAAAGGGUAUAGAAGGUGUACACUCAUGAAAGCUUUAAAAAUUACAAUUAACAAAUCCUUUAAAACAUUAGAUUACGAAAGCAGAAAAUAGUGUUAUUUAGUAGGUCAAACUCUGGAUCCUACAUCUCAUCUCUGAACAUACUUUAUAUACCUCUCAUGUUUCAAAUGUCAAUGUGUUUCUAUACUUACUAUAUUAACUGAUGUCAACCUUGAGCAACAGUGUCCACUUUCAUGCUUGUUGCAGUGAUAAUUUGCCACAGCGAACACAUCUGCUGUCAUCUUUCUUCCAUGAGAAUGAUGCAAACAGUCUUUCUUUUUUGUGUCUAUAUUUUUUUAAAUUCAUGUUACAUCCCAAUUGCAGCUCAGUCUUUCAAAAGAGGAACAGAUUAUGCUUUAUUGAAUCUUAGGAACUCUGUUGUUCUAAUUGUCCUUGUAUUUGGGUUUCUUUGUGCUUGUUUUUCAUUCUGUGGCAUGAGAUGCCAACUCAAAAUACAUGUGUCUCUUCCCUUAGGCAACCCUGACUUAAACUCGUUGAAAACAUAAAGUUGAUUCUCUGACUGGCUAGCUAUGGGUGUCAUUCAUUCUUGAGUCUACAGUUGAGUCAUCCUUUAGAAUCUGUGCUUAGCUUAAAAAAAAAGAAUUUCAAUUAUUCCAUUGCUUUUUAUUUAUUGAUGAGUAAAAAAAAUUGGGGUUUUAAGUAGAAAUUAAAUCUAAAGUGUUUUGAUGGCAAUAUAUAUUUGAUUGUUAGUGAAAAUUAUCAACCAAAUUUAGGCAAAAAUAUUGGAUGUUUUUUAAAUCAUAGUCAAUAAAAUUUGCUAUAACUGAUACACAGCUUCUAAAACUAAAGUCAUCCGCAGGUGCCAUUGUCCCAUUUCCAAACACUUUUCUCCUUCCAUUCAACUUCUUCACUCAACUCAUGUGUCCUCCCAGUCUUUGUCAACAGGGGUAUGUGUGUCCCUCUUCAGUUGGGAGCAUCCUUGAGCAUCAGUCUACCUGGGGUUCUCCCUCAUAAUUAUCUAGAGGGUGAUAGGGUCAUCUCAUCUGCAAAUAUUCUUCAUUGUAGGACCAUAAAACAACAUUUCUAUGUUGCAGCAUCUCAAAGCAGAGAAAUGUCCAUCCCCAGAGUCCACCCAUGGCUCUCAUCCUCUCUCAGCAUUUGAACUCUAUGGGUUCAAUGAUGCUUUUUGGGUUCUUACUAAAUGUGUCAGAGUCCAAGACAUAAUUUUAUGAUUUUUUUUGUCAAAAAGACACUAAAUCAAAAUUCAGAAUUAAGAACAAGUCAUCUAAAACUUAACAAAUGAAAUAUCUAUUUCAUAUAUAUGUAUAUAAAACAUCUAGUAAAAAUUUCUUCUUUUGUAGUAUUUGAUAAUAGGUGCUUCCAGAAUUUCAACUUGGCUUUUGU
rnacentral:lncRNA from 1 species